AUGACUCAGCGGAGGAUGCUCCUCUUUACGGGGGGCGCCCUCUCUUCGGAGAGGACAGCAGGCCCGCCGGUGGCCUACUUAACUCUUGUUUUUACUAAGUAUUAUCUGAGUAAAGCUUCUAAAUGAAUCAAAACUUUCAACAACGGAUCUCUUGGUUCUGGCAUCGAUGAAGAACGCAGCGAAAUGCGAUAAGUAAUGUGAAUUGCAGAAUUCAGUGAAUCAUCGAAUCUUUGAACGCACAUUGCGCCCUCUGGUAUUCCAGAGGGCAUGCCUGUUCGAGCGUCAUUUCAACCCUCAAGCCUAGCUUGGUGUUGGGGCAUUACCUUCUUUACAGAAGGUAAGCCCUGAAAUUCAGUGGCGAGCUCGCCAGGACUCCGAGCGCAGUAGUGUAAACCUCGCUUUGGAUCGUACUGGCGCGGCCCUGCCGUAAAACCCCCAAAUUCUGAAAAUUUGACCUCGGAUCAGGUAGGAAUACCCGGUGAAAUUAAGCAUAUCAAUA
rnacentral:rRNA from 1 species